CUGCUGGGCAUGCUCCAACUGGAGAAUAGGUAUAAAAGCCCGCAAAGGUGCUCAAUCUGGGCUGACCACUGGAAGAGAAGGAGGCACACUGCCAGCUCCUGAGGAGGGACAGCCAAUGGUCCAGGGGCCAGCCAAGAAGGGAUGCACCUGGCAUCCCAGAGGGAGGUCCUGACAGGAGGGGACGGACUGGAGGACCCCCUCCCCAGAGUGGAGAACACGACAGUGAAGGACAUUUGAGCAACUUUGAAGCUACAUUCGACAUGAUCUUGCACAGUGCCGACGUGGAGAGUUGUGCACAUAAGCACAAGGUACAAAGAAAGGAGCAGGACAGUCAGUGAUCACCAGAAACUCUGGCCUGCAUAAGAGCUGAUGCCUGGCUGCCAAGCUACUGGUGCCUAGUAGUUGGAAUAGGACCUAUGAGGAAAAAUGUAUAUCAUAGCUCAUUAACCUGAUGAAAAUCAGGCUUAGACCAUGUCUCCCCAGACGUUCUCCUCUUCUACCGUGGACACUUGCAAUUAAGAGAGUGAGUGUAACAAGACUAAAGACUUCUACUGAUCAGUGUGGAGGACUACUAGUGGCUCCUUAAUCUUACUCGUGCCUGGCACUUGUGCUGCAGUAAAACACCCUUGUAUUUCCUGCUUUGCACUAUGUAAGGACUUGUAGGAUCAGGAUUGGGAUGAACAGUAGUGGAGGAAUUCAAUAUUUCUGUGUCUGUUUACUGACUUUGGCUGUAAACCAUGGUAAUGAGAAGUCUGCAAAAGGCAAGGGAUGAAAUGUGGAAGGGGAUGGAAGGUGAGUAAGGACAAAAUAAAUAAGAAUCAGACCGGAAGACAGAAUGCUCUUGGACAUGCAGCUCUGACUGAAGCUCAUGGGAGGUGAAUAUGAGCUCUUAAGGCACAAUAUGGCCUAGACAUUUUUGUCAGUGUUCAAUAAUGCCUGUACUACUUCAGAAAAAGAAGCAACACAUUAAUUGAUAUAUAACUUUAUUAUGCACAGACUAAGAUGACAUGACACUGUGGUUAUCAAAACUGUACAACUAAGCAUUUCCCCAAGUCUUCUGAACACACAACUAAAUACCAAUGAGGUGUUCAGACUGGCCAGAGGGAUUAAUGGAUUAAUUUCUCCCACUGAUUUUUUUUAAAAAAAUACAUCUGUAAUGAGAUUUUGCUAAUUAAGAACUGAUUUAAAAAAAUCAAAGUACUGUGUUUGGAACCAGUUGAAAACAUGAUUGCUAAUACCAAUUAAUUUCAUGAACACCCCGUCUGACAAAAACAGAGCACAACAAUUACCUCACAGAAAGUGCUGUCAGCAUAACCAGCAGUACAAGUCUUCUUGUGAAGCAUGAGGUAGAUACACAUUACAGAAAAGACUGGUGUAUACAUUACAGAAAACAAUUAGAAAGAGGAACAAAAAGAAUUUACAAUCAUCUCGAGAGACAUUAUGCAAAACCCUCUUCCAUCUGGUAAAUGCAAUGGAAAAGCCCAGUUCAGAAUGUUUUGACUUCUUACAUUAUCAUUUUAACAGCUGCCCAACACCAAAUAUUUGUAAAGGUUAAAGCUAGUGAUUAGAAAAUAUAUGAACACAACAAGCAGUCUGCCUUGGAGUUUAAGUAUUUCACUAAUGGAUUUUAUAGUCAGAAGCUGUCUUUUUUUUUUUUAAAGCCCAAUUCUGCCAUCCUUCCACCAGAUAUCCCACUGGACUCAAUGAGAUUACCUGUGAAAUUCACCUUGGGAGAGAAGGCCAGCACCAAUUAAGUCUCUUGUGAGCCCCAUUUUGAGGAACUAAAUGGGAUGUAAAUGGCACACAGGCCUUGUGCUGCUCCUCUGAACAAGGUAAAUAUCUCAUUUGAGUAAUGGUGGCAGGAUCAGGCCUCUUGAUAGACUCAAGAAACUGUGGCUUUGCAGUUAAACAUUCAAAUGAUAUACAACACAAUAUAACUUUAAAGAAACUUGCAGUAAAUAUAAAUGGCUGUUUUAUAAAAAGAGUUUACGUUUGUAGCAGUAUUCUGAAUUGCAAUAGUCAAUGACUGCUGCAAGGUACGGUACAUUCUUCUAAUAAAGCUAUUAACUGGGAAAUGCCCUUGUUUUACUUCUCUUGCCUACAGAAGUGACUGGUCAAUCCUAUAAGAAAUGACACUUGCAUUUGAUGACAUUCACUGUCCAAUUAACAUAUUGGUAACUUUCCAUGAACUCAGUUUGAUAUAUUCUUAACUCUAAACAGCUGAGUACAUCAAGAUGAGUCUUAAUUUAAAUUGUGUCCUGGAUAGAAGGCUAAAAAUUCAAAUUUUUUUUAUGCAUUGUAUAUUUUGGUUUGUCAGUUUGGAAAUAUAAAUCUGUAAAUUAUUUUAAAAUUAGAGUAAAUUAUUGAUAAAAUCAUUGAUAAUGCAGCAUGUUUCUCUCAAACAUACAAUUAACUAUCUUACACACAAGGUUUUAAACUUGUCCAUCACAACAGAAUUUUCUAAGACUCCUUGUGAGGCUACUUUUUUUUUUAAUCUGAGAAGGAAAGGGUUAAAAUGGUAAUAAGACAUUACAAAAAAUGUAAAAUUCACAGUAACUGAAAUUAAACAUAUAUAGAGUAAUUUAAAUUUAUCUAAAACCACUUAAAUAUAUCUUUAUACACAAAUGUAAUGUAGUAAAAUAUAGCUAUGAUUGACUUAAAGGCUUUAGUCUUCUUUGAAGACAUCUUUAAAGAUUUUAUACAUAGAAUAUGCUCACACAAUACAUUCUGCUGAAGGUUAGGCAAAGCGCAUUAUUUUCAAAGACACAGGUAGCAUAUUUGUUCUCCCCACACGAAGGACGCAAUCCUGCAAACACUUAUGUGAGUCAUCCUGUUGAACUCAAAGUAAUUAUUCAUUGGUCUGAUCUUGCAAAGACUUUCACAUGUGCUUAACUUUACUCACUGUGAGCAGUCCCCAUUGACACUGAGACCGAUCACAGGGCAUAAAGUUAAGUACAUUUAUAAGCCCUUACAACAUCAGGGUCAGUCAGUAAGUUUACCCAUGUGCAUAAGCAUUUGCAGGAUCAGAGCCAAA